rnacentral:rRNA from 1 species
UACGUAGGGGGCGAGCGUUGUCCGGAGUUACUGGGCGUAAAGGGCGCGCAGGCGGUCUGGCAAGUUCGGAGUGACAGUGCUCGGCUUAACUGAGCAAGGCCUUCGAAAACUGCUAGACUUGAGCACUCAAGAGGGACAUAGAAUUCCGGGUGGAGUGGUGAAAUGCGUAGAUAUCCGGAGGAAUACCAAAGGCGAAGGCAGUGUCCUGGGGAGUGUCUGACGCUCAGGCGCGAAAGCUAGGGGAGCGAACAGG